rnacentral:rRNA from 1 species
CCAGCUCCAAUAGCGUAUAUUAAAGUUGUUGCAGUUAAAAAGCUCGUAGUUGAAUUUCAGAGGAGAGCUUCCGGUCUUGGUUUGACCAUGUACUGGAACGUUCGAAUCUUUUUUCUGGGGAAACGACAUGUCCUUCACUGGGCGUGUCGCAGAACCAGGACGAUUACCUUGAGAAAAAUAGAGUGUUCAAAGCAGGCUUUUGCUUGAAUACGUUAGCAUGGAAUAAUAAAAUAGGACGAUGGACCUAUUUUGUUGGUUUUAAGGACCAUAGUCAUGAUGAAUAGGGACAGUUGGGGGCAUUCGUAUUCCGAAGCUAGAGGUGAAAUUCUUGGAUUUUCGGAAGACGAACUACUGCGAAAGCAUUUGCCAAGGAUGUUUUCA